rnacentral:rRNA from 1 species
CCUACGGGAGGCAGCAGUGGGGAAUUUUGGACAAUGGGCGAAAGCCUGAUCCAGCAAUGCCGCGUGCAGGAAGAAGGCCUUCGGGUUGUAAACUGCUUUUGUACGGAACGAAACGGUCUGCUUUAAUACAGUGGGCUAAUGACGGUACCGUAAGAAUAAGCACCGGCUAACUACGUGCCAGCAGCCGCGGUAAUACGUAGGGUGCGAGCGUUAAUCGGAAUUACUGGGCGUAAAGCGUGCGCAGGCGGUUAUAUAAGACAGUUGUGAAAUCCCCGGGCUCAACCUGGGAAUUGCAUCUGUGACUGUAUAGCUAGAGUACGGUAGAGGGGGAUGGAAUUCCGCGUGUAGCAGUGAAAUGCGUAGAUAUGCGGAGGAACACCGAUGGCGAAGGCAAUCCCCUGGACCUGUACUGACGCUCAUGCACGAAAGCGUGGGGAGCAAACAGGAUUAGAUACCCUGGUAGUCCACGCCCUAAACGAUGUCAACUGGUUGUUGGGUGCAUUAGUACUCAGUAACGAAGCUAACGCGUGAAGUUGACCGCCUGGGGAAUCGGGCCGCAAGGUUGAAACUCAAAUGAAUUGACCGGNNGAGAGNGCGACGACGACGACGAGGGAGGAGG